UUUCCCAGAUUCUUCAAGAAUUCGUAGUCUGGACUGCCUGGUCUAGAAUGCCCUUUCUCCUUUCACAUUCAAGUAGACUUUUUAUUUCCUCCUUCUUAUGCUGCUGAGAGAAAAAGAGAGCAUUGACUAAAAUGUCUCGGGUUUAAUGUUUUCGCUUUUAACAAAUUUCUGACUUAGCUUUUUAAACCUAUUGGCUUCUUUAAUGGGCGCUGAUUUUUUGGUAACCAAUUGUAAUCACAAUGUUCUAAAUUAAUAAAUGAAAAUGAAUUAUGUUUCAGAUUUUUCAAGAAUGCAGAAGCGAACGAAUUGGAAACUUCUGUAUGGGUUUUUCAUCUAGUAAAUGCUUAAUAAAUACAUGUGAUUGCCAAUAAUCUAAAGUUUCUCUAAAUCCAAGGCCUGAAAACCAGUAUGAUAAACUGAACUUAAAUACACAGCCUAUUACCUACUAAACAAAAUCCAGGUUCCAAGUAUCUGUUCAAUUUCCCCUUCCAUUUCCUUUGGUGAACGAUGGUUAAAGUUUUAAGACUCUAUUUCUUCGUAACAGUCUUGCCCCUUUGGGACGGGCCCUAUAAGUUUACGUUUGAGGUUGAAGCAGGAGACAAAUUAUGCAGCAACUUGCUUCUGCUUUACUGUUUUUUUUUCUGCACUAUCAGCCGCGCUUUCCAUUCUGAAGUCAACCACCCUCAUGCAAGUGUUGCCUCCACAUUAAACUAAGGGACUGAAGGGACAUUUUCAAUCAAACAACAAAGGCCUGGCCUUUCCGCCGCAGGCAGCGCGCCUCCCCAGACUACCGGUCCGGGGCAGAGACCACCCCAACCCGGCAGGAAUGCGGGGCCCGGCCCGAGGGCGGGCGGGGUCAAGGGACGAGCCUGCGCUGCCAGCCGAAGGCCGCCUACAGGGAGCCAAGCCUGAGGCCAACCGUGUAGGAAAGCAACCGGGACUAACAGAAACGUUUCCCUGGACCUUGGCGACCACUCACCCAUCGGCCGCCUGAAGGUUUCGCUGGAGAAGCACUAGAUCAGCGGAUCUGGCAGCUACACCGAACAUCCGGGCCACAGCGGGCUCGGCGGCUCCGCCUCCCAGUAACCGGGACAACCGCUCCGAAGUUCCUCCCCCACUUCCGGGUUUAGGCUCCGAGGCCCCGCCCCCAGUGGUGCUGCUUCGCGUCCCGCCCUCUUCGCGCGGAGUCACAGGAGCUCCUGAAGCCAGCUCUGCGGGACUGCGCUGGUGUCCCCGGACACAGACCAUGGACAGCGCGCUAGCGGUGCUGCGGCCGCCUCCUCAUGAUCCGGAGACGCCGGCGCUGUCGGUGGUGGACAUGCAUACGGGCGGCGAGCCCCUGCGCAUCGUGCUGGCGGGGUGUCCGGAGGUGGUCGGGCCAACCCUGCUGGCCAAGCGGCGCUACAUGCGCCAGCACCUUGACCACGUGCGGCGACGGCUCAUCUUCGAGCCCCGAGGGCACCGGGACAUGUACGGAGCAGUCCUAGUGCAGAGCGAGCUGCCAGACGCGCACCUGGGCGUCCUUUUCCUGCAUAACGAAGGCUACAGCUCCAUGUGCGGCCACGCUGUGCUGGCCCUGGGCCGCUUCGCCCUGGACUACGGGCUGGUGCCGGUGCCGUUUGCGGGCAGUCGCGAGGCCCGCGUCAACAUUCACUGCCCGUGCGGGCUGGUGGCCGCCUUCGUGGCGUGUGAGGACGGCCGCAGCCGCGGCCCGGUGCGCUUCCACAGCGUCCCAGCCUUCGUGCUAGCCACAGAUCUCAUGGUGGAUGUUCCUGGACAUGGAAAGGUGGUGGUGGACAUCGCAUAUGGCGGUGCAUUUUAUGCAUUUGUGAGUGCUGAAAAGUUAGGACUAGACAUUUGUUCUGCAAAGACCAGGGACGUUGUGGAUGCAGCGAGUGGAGUGACAGAGGCAGUAAAAGCUCAGUUUAAAAUUAAUCAUCCUGAUAGUGAAGACCUUGCCUUUUUAUAUGGAACUAUAUUAACAGAUGGAAAAGAUGCUUAUACCAAGGAACCAACCACCAACAUUUGUGUUUUUGCAGAUGAACAGGUUGACAGAAGUCCCACUGGCUCAGGAGUGACAGCCCGAAUUGCCUUACAGUAUCACAAAGGGCUUCUAGAACUGAACCAGACCAGAGCCUUUAAAAGCAGUGCAACUGGCUCAGUAUUCACAGGGAAAGCUGUGAGGGUAAGUGACACCCUUAGCUUCUUAUUUAUAAAUGUGUCAUUUAUGAGACUGAAGAGGCCUGAGGUAGGUGUUGGAUAAAUGUCUUCACUCAGCUCUCAGGAGAGAGUUUUAAAGAGUUUAAAAACUUCUUUUCAACUAGGAUAUUGAUUCUCAAGUGUGAUCUAAGGUCCUUUCCAUGGGUUCAGAAGAUCAAAACUAUGUUGACAAUAAUGACACUAUUUGCUUUUCACUCUCAUUCUCUCAAGAGUGCACAGUGUAGUUCUUCAGAGGCUAUGCGUUCUAUGCUAACCCAACCAAUUGAAUGCAGAAGCUAGAUAUGAGAACCUAGGUGCUUUCUAUUAAGCCAGACAUAAAAGAGGUUUGCAAAAAUAUCAAACAAUGCCACGUUUCUCAUAAUUUUUUUUUGUUUUGGCAAACAUAGUUAUUUUCACAAAAAUAUAUUAUUCAUAUGUUAAUGAUAAUGGGUUUAUGAUUUUUUAAAAGCAGUAAUAAAUAGGUAUAUCCAAUUCCUAAUACUGUAAAUAUUGAUAGAUAUAAACAAAAACUCUUUGGAGUCCUCAAAUCUUAAGGUAUAAAAGGGUCCUGAGACCAAAAGGUUUGAGAACCACUAAAUUGAGGUUUGGGUUUUUUGUUUGUUUUUGUUUUAUUUUAUAAUAGUGUUUUAUUGUAUAUAAUAGGAUGUGAAAGCCCUGAAAAGUUGUGGAACAUCAAAGUAAAUAUGCUAAGAGCUAAGUAAUGAAUCUUACCACAGUAGUAAAUAAAAUCUACUACAGAGUGAUUAAUCUACAUUUAGCAAAUGAAUCUACUCAUAAACAGUCCUUUAACAUAGCAAACAAUCUAUCCUAAUAUAGCUGUCUUUAAGAUACGGUGUUUCUGAAUAUUAGAAUUUCUUUAAGAAUCUGUGCAACACGUGAUGAUCUUAAACGUGUGAAACCAUUUAUGUUGUAUGCAAAAAUUCAGAACACAUUUUCUUCAGAAUCUGAAAGUAACAUAAAAAUAAUAACAUACAUGUAUUGGAUACUUCACUGUCCAUCAGUUUCCAAGCUAAGCACUUGAUACAUGUCAUCUCAUUUAAUCCUCACAAGAAUCCUACAAGGUCAGUACUGUAUUGUUAUUAUCCUUUUUUAGUAGAUGAUAAAAUGGAGGAUUGGAGAAGUUAGGUAAUUUGCUGGUGGUUAGUCAAUGAGUAGCAGAUUGAGGUCAUGAACAUGGGUCUCUCUGAACAGACCACAUGCUGUUAAGCACUACAUUAUGUUGCUAUCAAACAAAGCAAAGGUCAAUGAGGCUUUAAUAUUAUAGGAGCUGUUAUGAGAAGAAUCUGGGACUGUAAUGUCCCCCCAAAUAGAGAAGGAGCCCAUAAACCAAAGAAUGACUCAAACAAGUCCAGGAAGCGAAAUGUGGUGAUUUUAAAGCUGUUAUAGUAGAAGUAUCAGGACAAGCCCAUUACACAGGUACAGCAAGCUUUACAGUAGAAGAUGAUGACCCACUGAAGGAUGGAUUUCUUCUCAAGUGACUUCUUCCAUGAUUGUAAGGGCUUUCUUCUUAAUCAUUAUCCAUAAGUAAUUUUUUCUCUAAAUUAUGUGGAAACCAAUAUUCAAAUUAUACGUAUAAGCUAACUUUCAUUUUUUUCUAAAAUAAUACUGUGGCUAAAUAUAAAGUCAUUAUACCUCAUAUUUGCAACUGUAUUUUGGUAUAAAUAUCACUUAUGUCUAGCAUACAAAAUGACAGAAAUUUAGAGUCUUUUUCUAGUGAUUAACCUAUCAGAUAAAAUUAAAACAGUUGUUACUUUUAAAAUAUUGCUUUAUAGUAAUUACUACUAAUAUCAUAUUUGUUUUAAAGGCUCUUUGAAUAAUA